UGCACUGGGGGAUAACACUUAGAAAUAGGUGCUAAUACCGCAUAAGCGCACAAUACCGCAUGGUAGAGUGUGAAAAACUCCGGUGGUGCAAGAUGGACCCGCGUCUGAUUAGCCAGUUGGCGGGGUAACGGCCCACCAAAGCGACGAUCAGUAGCCGGCCUGAGAGGGUGAACGGCCACAUUGGGACUGAGACACGGCCCAAACUCCUACGGGAGGCAGCAGUGGGGAAUAUUGCACAAUGGGGGAAACCCUGAUGCAGCAACGCCGCGUGAGUGAAGAAGUCAUUCGUGAUGUAAAGCUCUAUCAGCAGGGAAGAAAAUGACGGUACCUGACUAAGAAGCCCCGGCUAACUACGUGCCAGCAGCCGCGGUAAUACGUAGGGGGCAAGCGUUAUCCGGAUUUACUGGGUGUAAAGGGAGCGUAGACGGCGAGACAAGUCUGAAGUGAAAUGCCAGUGCUCAACACUGGAACUGCUUUGGAAACUGCCUGGCUGGAGUGCGGGAGAGGUAAGUGGAAUUCCUAGUGUAGCGGUGAAAUGCGUAGAUAUUAGGAGGAACACCAGUGGCGAAGGCGGCUUACUGGACCGUAACUGACGUUGAGGCUCGAAGGCGUGGGGAGCAAACAGGAUUAGAUACCCUGGUAGUCCACGCGGUAAACGAUGAUUACUAGGUGUCGGGGGGCUAGAGCCCUUCGGUGCCGCCGCAAACGCAAUAAGU
rnacentral:rRNA from 1 species